CCUUAUGCCUCGCGUUCAGGUGCCCCCGAUGGGGGUGAAACGGGAAACCGGUGCGUCACAGGCCCUCCAGCAGGGCCGGACAAGGCCGGUGCUGCCCCCGCAA
rnacentral:ncRNA from 2 species